UUAACUUAUAGGCAGUAAAAACCACACAGGUCAAAUGUGGCUGACACUUUUAACUGACAAAAAUGUUACUAUAAAAAUCAGUUGAAGUCAUUUAAAUUGCAAAAGAGACACUUUGAAUGUGUCUCAAUUGCCAUUGCAAUUUUGUAUGAAAUCAUAGAGGGCCUUGAAGGGGAAGAACAAUUGCCUCAGAUCUGAAAAAACACCAGAGCAAGAAAACAAAACUUCUUUUGACCUUUUGUGCCUCACUUUAGUGGUUAGCGCUCUACAGCAACAAGCGCCUCGUAGUCGGCUGGGGCCUUCAUGUGGAGCGUUUGCAUGUUCUUCCUGCAUCUGCGUGGAUUUCCUUCCAAAGUGUACGAGUGUGAGCUUGUCGUUCUCUUUUUGUUAGUCCAAUAAUUACAUCUCCCAGAUCGGGAUAAAGAAAGAAAGGCAUCUUAAAUGGACUGGUGUUUAUAUAGCGCAACAGAACAAGGAGCUAAAAGGUUUAGAGGAGCCUACGCAGGGGUUUGUGCGUGUAUGUGUUGUUGUCGUCAUUUCUCCAUCUAGACAUCAUAAUACUUAAAGCCUUCAGGGCGCUUGUGAAGUAGUCAGACUCAAACGUCAAGGAAGGUGGUAGGGAAGCAGACUAUGCAGACAUUUCAAAUUUUCAAAGGUGAGCAAUUUAUUUACAGUGAACUUAAUUUAAUGUAACUUAACAAAACUUCCCCCAAAUAAACUCUAUUAACAAAACUCAACAUAACAUGGCUCUGGUAACACAGCUCACCUCUCCUCUCCUGCAUCUGGUAGAGACUGGCUUUAAAUAGGGCCAUCAAUUUCCCUCCAAUUGCCCAGCCAGUACCACUCACUCAAACUGAGGGAUCUAAAACUCUACACAGAUGAUUUAAAAGCACAAAACCUCUUCACACUUCUAAUACGCACAUUUACACAACUAAAUGGCAGUAUUAACAAAAAGAAAAACAUUCAACAAAUUCCUUUAAACCUUAACACAAACAAAAGGAAGCGUCUCUAUGGAAAAAAAAACCCCUCCACUUGUUUGACCUGCUGAUGUCAUGUUUGACAUCAUCAGGAAUUUAAAAUGAUGAAAUGCCAGGCGGGCGUUUCCCCACACCUGACCCUCAUGAAGACUGAAAAGACAAACAAAAAUGUUUGAUUUGCCGGCAACAGAACGCUUACACAAACAAACCCGGGAUAGUGAGUGAAGCAAUGUUACUUGACAAAUAGCAAAUCAUAGCAAAUACAUAGAAACAGAAUAAUGUGUACAAUGUGCAAAAAAA